AUAUGGACUGUAAUGCGAAUUUGUUUUAUGAACUACGUUAGUUCAACUGUGAAAGAACUGUGAAUUUUUUUAUUUUCAAAGACUUUAAUCUUAAUUUAAUGUUAUUUAUAUAUUGUAUUUCAAUUUUCUUUUCUACGUAAAGUAAUUUUUUGAGGCCCCGAGAAUGUCGAGAAGACCGCGGGACCGGCAACGUCUCGGAAG
rnacentral:lncRNA from 1 species